rnacentral:snoRNA from 1 species
UCAUCACGUGGGAUAAUCCUUAACUGUUCCUCCUUUUGGAGGGUAGAUAGAACAUGAUGAUUGGAAUUCGUAUGAAACGUGAUUAGUGUCUCUGCGUAACCAGGACUUAAAACACCCUGGUUGCUCCUAUCUGAU